CUUCAACGAGCCGAGCCACAGCGGUUGUUCGGCCGCCCGCUCCUGCCCGUACGUCGCCAGCAGCGCCUCGGCCUC
rnacentral:antisense_RNA from 1 species